GAUCCUGAAGAUAUUUAUAAAUCCAUCGAAUCAGCUUUUCGGGGAAAUGGUUUUCAAGGUGAUGUGUCCGUCCGGUUGUACGCAGAUAAGAAUACUCUCCCCACAAAUCCUGAGAAAUUUGAUGGUAACGAAAUCAGGACUGUUUUGGUACCGGAAGUUGCAGGGAUUGACUAUGCACGUGCGAGAGAGGAUGAGAUGCAUCUGGACAUUUUUUUUUGAUGCACUGGAGAAUCGUGAAAAAGAACCAAGUUUGAUGGUUAUCUCGAACAUGAAACAAUAUUUGUUCGUUGUACUAUUGUCAGUAUGCAUUGGUGUGGUUACAAAAUUGUAUGUGCAAGUCAGCCACCAAAAUUGGAGGGGGAAUUGAUUUUUGAAAGCGCACUGUGGCUUGUGGAAAUCUUUUCAGAUCCUAACUUUCUAUUGGGAAGCUCACAACAUGCUAACAAAAAGCAGAAGACGGUUACUGAAACUUCUCCAAGUUCACAACUACCAAACUAGCUUUUGCAUAUUUGCUUUACUUCUAUAUUUCGUUUGAUGUUUUGAAUUCUGAAUAUACUUUUAUUUAAAAUUCUGUUCAGAUAUUGGCUUUUUGAGCGACCUUGAAAAAAAAAAAAAAGAGAUUUCCUCUUUCUUAAGGUGGUGAUCUUUUUGAUAAAAAAAAAAAAAAGAAGUACAUAUGUUCACAGGAUGAUACAAGCAUCCGAGUUCUUAGCUUGACCUGGUUUCCGACGAGGGUAAGUUGUCGUAGGCUUGGUCACUUUUGUUUGCCUUAUAGGCUUAUUCACUUUCGGUUUAGGCACUUUAACCUGAUUGCGAUUUUGCACCGGUUCUCCAUCCGGUUCAACCCCGAUUAUAUCAGCAUAUUCAUAUAUCUUCUUUAGUUUCUUCGUCAUUACAAACUUAUCAAAUGCUCCAGUCACUUUU
rnacentral:lncRNA from 1 species